rnacentral:lncRNA from 1 species
AGGUCGGGGUCCCAAGACCCCCCAGCGGAAAAAUGGCCAAAAAACGGGUGGGCUAUAGCCUUGGUGGGGGGCGUGGGCGUCCGCGGGACUCGGAAUGGCACCAUACUUGGCGGGCGGCCUCCGUGUGCCAAAAAUAGGCCACGGGCACAGCCGCGCCCAAAAAUCAGCCCCCGAAGGUCGGGGUCCCAAGACCCCCCAGCGGAAAAAUGGCCAAGAAACGCGUGGGCUAUAGCCUUGGUGGGGGGCGUGGGCGAAGUUCGUCCGCGGGACUCGGAAUGGCCCCAGACUUGGCGGGCGGCCUCCGUGUGCCAAAAAUAGGCCACGGGCACAGCCGCGCCCAAAAAUCAGCCCCCGAAGGUCGGGGUCACAAGACCCCCCAGCGGAAAAAUGGCCAAGAAACGCGUGGGCUAUAGCCUUGGUGGGGGGCGUGGGCGAAGUUCGUCCGCGGGACUCGGAAUGGCCCCAGACUUGGCGGGCGGCCUCCGUGUGCCAAAAAUAGGCCACGGGCACAGCCGCGCCCAAAAAUCAGCCCCCGAAGGUCGGGGUCACAAGACCCCCCAGCGGAAAAAAGGCCAAGAAACGCGUGGGCUAUAGCCUUGGUGGGGGGCGUGGGCGAAGUUCGUCCGCGGGACUCGGAAUGGCACCAUACUUGGCGGGCGGCCUCCGUGUGCCAAAAAUAGGCCACGGGCACAGCCGCGCCCAAAAAUCAGCCCCCGAAGGUCGGGGUCCCAAGACCCCCCAGCGGAAAAAUGGCCAAAAAACGGGUGGGCUAUAGCCUUGGUGGGGGGCGUGGGCGUCCGCGGGACUCGGAAUGGCACCAUACUUGGCGGGCGGCCUCCGUGUGCCAAAAAUAGGCCACGGGCACAGCCGCGCCCAAAAAUCAGCCCCCGAAGGUCGGGGUCCCAAGACCCCCCAGCGGAAAAAUGGCCAAGAAACGCGUGGGCUAUAGCCUUGGUGGGGGGCGUGGGCGAAGUUCGUCCGCGGGACUCGGAAUGGCCCCAGACUUGGCGGGCGGCCUCCGUGUGCCAAAAAUAGGCCACGGGCACAGCCGCGCCCAAAAAUCAGCCCCCGAAGGUCGGGGUCACAAGACCCCCCAGCGGAAAAAAGGCCAAGAAACGCGUGGGCUAUAGCCUUGGUGGGGGGCGUGGGUGAAGUUCGUCCGCGGGACUCGGAAUGGCACCAUACUUGGCGGGCGGCCUCCGUGUGCCAAAAAUAGGCCACGGGCACAGCCGCGCCCAAAAAUCAGCCCCCGAAGGUCGGGGUCCCAAGACCCCCCAGCGGAAAAAUGGCCAAAAAACGGGUGGGCUAUAGCCUUGGUGGGGGGCGUGGGCGAAGUUCGUCCGCGGGACUCGGAAUGGCCCCAGACUUGGCGGGCGGCCUCCGUGUGCCAAAAAUAGGCCACGGGCACAGCCGCGGCCAAAAAUCAGCCCCCGAAGGUCGGGGUCCCAAGACCCCCCAGCGGAAAAAUGGCCAAGAAACGCGUGGGCUAUAGCCUUGGUGGGGGGCGUGGGCGAAGUUCGUCCGCGGGACUCGGAAUGGCCCCAGACUUGGCGGGCGGCCUCCGUGUGCCAAAAAUAGGCCACGGGCACAGCCGCGCCCAAAAAUCAG